UGCAAGUCGAACGAGAAUCUGAUGAAGGAGUUUUCGGACAACUGAUUCAGAGGAAAGUGGCGGACGGGUGAGUAACGCGUGAGGAACCUGCCUUGAAGAGGGGGACAACAGUUGGAAACGACUGCUAAUACCGCAUGACGCAUAGGGGUCGCAUGAUUCUUAUGCCAAAGAUUUAUCGCUUCAAGAUGGCCUCGCGUCUGAUUAGCUGGUUGGCGGGGUAACGGCCCACCAAGGCGACGAUCAGUAGCCGGACUGAGAGGUUGAACGGCCACAUUGGGACUGAGAUACGGCCCAGACUCCUACGGGAGGCAGCAGUGGGGAAUAUUGGGCAAUGGGCGCAAGCCUGACCCAGCAACGCCGCGUGAAGGAAGAAGGCUUUUGGGUUGUAAACUUCUUUUAAGAGGGAAGAGCAGAAGACGGUACCUCUAGAAUAAGCCACGGCUAACUACGUGCCAGCAGCCGCGGUAAUACGUAGGUGGCAAGCGUUGUCCGGAUUUACUGGGUGUAAAGGGCGUGCAGCCGGGUCUGCAAGUCAGAUGUGAAAUCCAUGGGCUCAACCCAUGAACUGCAUUUGAAACUGUAGAUCUUGAGUGUCGGAGGGGCAAUCGGAAUUCCUAGUGUAGCGGUGAAAUGCGUAGAUAUUAGGAGGAACACCAGUGGCGAAGGCGGAUUGCUGGACGAUAACUGACGGUGAGGCGCGAAAGUGUGGGGAGCAAACAGGAUUAGAUACCCUGGUAGUCCACACUGUAAACGAUGAAUACUAGGUGUGCGGGGACUGACCCCCUGCGUGCCGCAGUAAACACAAUAAGUAUUCCACCUGGGG
rnacentral:rRNA from 1 species